AAGAAGCAUGCAGGAGUUCACCCCCUCCAAAUACCACCCCUACAGUACAAAAUCACGUAAUUUAAAUGUCAGGAUGUCUGUUUUGCUUUCCUUUGAAGCUGUGAGAUGCUGGUAGAGGCGUUGGUGACUUGUGAGCUCGUGUCUCUGCAACCUGUCACUUGCUGAACCCCAGGGACCAUCACGCAUCCUUCAGCCCUGGUCAUACUGAUGGCUUCCCCUUGCCCUGGCAGAGCGUUAUUGGUUGACAGCACAGCAUGUCCCACCAGCUGGCAGCUGGUUUGUCCUGGAACCUACUGAUGCCUGUUGAGGGAUGCAGUGUCCCCAUCCCCUUCCCUGCCACAGGAGGGGAUAGGUUGCCUCUGGCAGAACACCAAUCUGGUGACCAUGGCCUCUCAUCUUGCCACUGGACAUCACUGGGAAGGGUCUGUCUCUAUCCUUCCUCUCCCUAUCAGGAUCAGGCUCCCCACGGCUAAGAAUAGCUUCUUCUGUUAUGUGAGCAGCAGCAAAAAGUAAGAAGAGUAUCAACAAUGUGAAUGUCACCGGAGGCAAAAAUCCCACUCCACCCGUCGCGACAGCAGUCCACUUUUGGAGAUCUCCGGGUGGUGCUUGGCUAAUUUUGAAGCUUCCUCAGUGGGGAUCCACAGUUGGUGUGACAAAAGGGAUAGCAAAGCUAGGGCAGUCAAUCUGUAUCAAGUAAUUUGUGCAGUACUGCAAACAUGCUGAUAAUCAGACAUCAUCAACCUCAGCAAGUUUUAAACUGCGACAGAGCUAGGUGUUUUGUUUCCACAACAGAUGGCUUGCUAUGAAGCCCCCAAAAUCUUGAACUGAUGUGUUUAUCUCAGAGAUAGCUCUUGCUGUAGCCACAUAGGCUUUGCUCUCCAACUGUUGGGAGAGUAAACGGGAUCGAUGGGCUCCAGGUAUACACCUUUUCUCCUUUUUUUCCUUUGUUUUUUUUUUCUUUUUCCCAGACCAUUUUUUUUCUCAAUUCCCCUUCAGGGGUCACUGCCAUCCUGAUCACUCUCGAUUUGCAGCAGUCUCAAAAUCAUAGUGAGAGACCCGGGACAGGAGACCUCAAAGGAGCAGCUGGGAAGAUGUGAAGGGAAGGCUAACGAGGCCACUCGGUUGUUAUUCAAAGACUCAUCUUUCAAAUACUAUUUUUCAGGGAAGAGAGGGGUGAGAAAGGCUUUCAAUGUUAUUGCUACAAAUAAACCCUUUAAAACACAUCCCAAGUAGGAUGAAUAAAGCCCCAGAGCAGUUCAUCUGAGCUAUGUGCUGUCUCGGCAGCUUCAGCAUUUUUUAACAGAGGUGCCAGUAAGGACUCAGCUUCCACAGCCAAACUUGGAACCAAGUUGGCAAACUGGUGGCCAGAACAGAAUUCUCACUUACUGCAAACAGCUGCGUUCACAACAGCUUCGGCGUGGUUUGCUGAGGUGGGAACAAAUGGGACAGCAAGGAGGCACGAGGGGUAGCAGUGUCAAUAUUAUUGCCAAACACCCAAUAAUGUCACACCCUGAGAGUGAUGGGCUGCUCAGGGAUGAUGUGUAUGGCAGGCUUCACAAAGCUUCAGUUGUUCCACAGAUUUUUCUACCAGCAGACAGGAUCGUAUGCUGCGUGGUCAACUGCGACCAGGGUAAAGGUGUGUUGUGCCUGAGCUGCGGUGAAUGUGGAAUGAGUGAGGAUGCUUGAAGAUGGUGACCUUUGGGGAGUAACCAUGCAAGAACAGGAUAAAGCUGCCCCUUGUGAAUAUGAAGGUUACAGUUCCACUUGGUCAGACCAAAGGUCUGUCUAACCUAACAUCCGGACCCCAACAGAGCCCAUGAGUGCAAGCCUAGGGAGAAGUAAGAACAAGGGAAAACAUACACAAUACUUCCCCUUAGUGUUCUCCCAGCCUCCAACUAUUUUCAGCUCAGGAACUUCCUGAGCCAGACACAGUUUCUAUGUUUUUAGUAACUCUCAGUGGAUUUCUCUUCCGUGAACUCUCCUUGAAUCCAUAUAAACGUCUCAUAUCCACAACAUCCUUUGGUAAGAAGAUCCAUAGAUCUGCUACCUGUUGCAUGAAGAGCCACCUCCUCCUGUUUGUUUUUCAGCCCUGCUCCUCCUAGCUCCAUGUAAUGCUGCCUGGUCUUGUACAGGAAGAGACAGCAAAGCCUACCCCAUCCAUGCUCCCAUGCUGCUCACAAGCUCAGGAACGUCUUUCAGAUAUCUCCUAGUCGUUACUAUUCCAAGCUGAAGAUACCUGUUUCAGUUGGUACGGAAACUAAGCCGUAAGGUGGAACUUGUGAAGGACUUGUGCUAUUUUUAUGUACAGCCUCACUUGCCCUCAGACUCCAAAGAGUCUUGUUGAGUCCUGCAGUUGUGAAUGAAAGCCUCCAGCUUGCUCAGAGCUUGAGUUCCAGCUCUAAUGCUGCAAGCGUCACGCGUUGGCAGAGCUAUGGGGAUAUAAAUGAUAGCCUGAACUCAAAUCCCAGGGAGGAACAGUUCCUAACCAUGCCGUAUGCGUGCACAAGCCGUUGCUGGAAGCCUCUUUGCACUUCCAUCCUCCCUUACGCCUCCCCAACUUUGCCAGUAAGCCAUACUCCCAGCUUCACUUCCAGGGGUCUUGUGAGGUUAUUCAUGUCUACGAGCUGCACUUUGCAGACAAACUCGUGGCGUUUCUGGCAGUGACCAGCAGCUUAGCCUUUUCUCUCAUUGUGCUGGCACGUAAAGCUGUUAUGAGUGCCCAGGAAAACCAAAAGCCUGCCACCUGCAUCAACGCUGCUGAGUACCUACCGAAGGCAUAGCGUGCUCCCUGCUCUGUGUGUGUGUGUCACAGUGACCUCUGAGCACGCCAUCUAAAAUAAUCCCAUGUAUGGAACCAGGAAUAGAAAGAAAGGAAGGAUGCAUUUUAUGUAAAUGCAGUCAGAAAGUCUGCAAGACAACUUGCUUGAAGUGGUUCGAAAGAUGAAGAAAUAUGACUCACUUCCGAAGGGAACUGUUUUUGCUGGGCUGGGCUGAAGGUAGCAUUGUGUCUUAGGCAAGUGCAUGGCUGCUGUUAGGGCUUUGCUGCUAUCUGUGUGGAUGGGCUGGGUGUCCAGUAAACUGUAUACUGGCCAUGCAGGGCAGGUGUGCUUCACAAGCGUGGAGGGAACUCCGCCUCGGUGCAGAAGAGGAUGCACCUGUUCGUCUGCAGUGUGGAUUUACACAUAGCCUUUGCAACCAGUGUCACUAACCCAAGGAUGCUUACCAUGGUCUCAACAGGAAAAAGUCUCCAAGGCACCUUUGUCCCGGCAAGUAGGAACCUCCUGCCUGGUUCAGAGCAGUGGUGUGUUUAAUUAAAUGCUCAGCUUCCCACAAAGCCUGUGGUAAUGCUGCAGAGGACGAGGUAAAAGUGCUCAGCGUGGGCAGCCAUGCCCUAGCAAGCUGCCAGCAGAAGUCUCCUCUGCCCCCCCCGGCCUAUCAGCACUCAGCUCCUCGGAAGCAUGAGGGUUUAGCGAUGUUUAUCAACACUUCCCCUGUGAAACGCAGCUAUGUGUACCCUUAUUCAUCACAGAGCAUUCUUUUCCCAGUGUUUUUCUUUCACUAACUCCUUGUAGCAACAAGAAAUUUCACUGAAUUAAACUGUGGGUGUUGACGACAUUGGGCGGCGUUUUAUUUCAUACCAUCUUUUCUCUCCAUGCGUCAUUGCCUGCCAAGACCAGGGCAGCUGUUGCAUGUAGGUUAGCUGAGAGAGGGUGCACCUCACGUGCAGCCCCACAGCGUGCCCCAGCCCCACUGCGCCAAGGGGACAGCAGUGGCAGGUCCCUCCCCAUCAGCCAGGCAUGCAGCUUGGGUAGCAUCGCCCUCCUGGAAGUGUGCCGUGGCCCAGGUGUGCUCCUGAGCGGGACACAGCUAUUGUUCAUGGCAGGUUGCAUUGCAGCAGCACAGACUGAAUUUUCCAAAGCCCUGCUCCCAUCCGCAUCCAUUGAGGACAGGAAUGCAAGUUCACCCGGAAACCACCUUUCCCUUUUAAGUGAGCGCAUUUCUGAGCGGGUUUGGUAUUUCCCAUCUCUAGACACCACAUUUUUUCCACUGACUCUGCGGGCAGCGCCAGGAGUUUCAGCAAGAGCCUAAAUCUGUCAGUGCACCAGGAAGCGCAGGAAGCCAAACACCGAAACUUCCCAUCCUGGUUUCAGCAGAGGGGUCAGACCCGUCUCUGCCCUGUGGAGCCACAACCAAUUCACCGUCAUCCCUUCGCUGCCGGGACAGGAAGGCGCUGGCAGACGGGCUCCAUCCCUGGCACCCCAAGCCCCCAGCGGGGAUGCCCGCCCCAGCACGGGUGCAGCAGCCCCCAAGGCGCUGGCUCCCUGCGGCUGAGGGCUUUUCCUUUCCCUCUGCCACGUCUUCCUCUGAAGACGACGGGUGAGGCGGGCUCGCUCACACAUGCCGGGGCUGGUGGCAGGGUGGCACAAAGCCUGCAUUGUGCGCGCUCACCGCCCGGAGAGGCG